GAUGAACGCUGGCGGCGUGCCUAACACAUGCAAGUCAAGCGAUUCUCUUCGGAGAAGAGCGGCGGACGGGUGAGUAACGCGUGGGUAACCUGCCCUGUACACACGGAUAACAUACCGAAAGGUAUGCUAAUACGGGAUAAUAUGCUUUAGUCGCAUGGCUAAAGUAUCAAAGCUCCGGCGGUACAGGAUGGACCCGCGUCUGAUUAGCUAGUUGGUAAGGUAACGGCUUACCAAGGCGACGAUCAGUAGCCGACCUGAGAGGGUGAUCGGCCACAUUGGAACUGAGACACGGUCCAAACUCCUACGGGAGGCAGCAGUGGGGAAUACUGCACAAUGGGCGAAAGCCUGAUGCAGCAACGCCGCGUGAGCGAUGAAGGCCUUCGGGUCGUAAAGCUCUGUCCUCAAGGAAGAUAAUGACGGUACUUGAGGAGGAAGCCCCGGCUAACUACGUGCCAGCAGCCGCAGUAA
rnacentral:rRNA from 1 species